UUAAUAAAUUAUUUCUAGCCACCCUGAUAUAAGGAAUGGCUUUCAGGAAUAUCUCAAUGUCCUCUGUGCUGAUUCAGCUGGCAUCAAGAAUGUAUAGAACUAGGGGAUGUAUUUUGAUAGGAAUAUGUCUGAUGGCACCCUGUCCUAUGGCAACAGAAAGGGUGAAGGUAGAAUCCGAGAGUCAGAGGCUCAUCUGUAAAAAAUUCUCCCAAUCAUAAGUCAUGUAAAAAAUUGUGAGUAGAUGAUACAGUUUCCAUAAACACAUAGUCAGAGUAAAAGUUGUGUUUCUGUUAGGAAUACACUCAACAAUGUUUCUAAUGUACAGUUAGAAACCCAUUAUAAUUUUUUCUUUCGAUUGCAAGUGCAACAAAUAAAAUGUAUCACAAUUUCUGUGUUUGGAGAAGUAAUAUAGAGAGUACAUAUGCAAGCUCAUAUGAGAAUGAAACUUUUAGAUGUUUCCCAUAUUUGACAACAAUCUAUAAUUUAUAGGACCAACAAUGAGCUGAAGGAUGAAAGGAACUUUUGUAAGCUAUGAACAAUAAAAACAAAUUUCAGUCAGUCAUGCUAAUGAGAUUUAUUUUAUUGUAUCUACAGAAAAUGACAUUAAAAUUUAAAAUUGUUGGUAUAUGAAGAGGUAAUCAAAGAAGAUGCAUCCAAAAAUAUUAGAAAAAAAGGCAGCUUAAUUUCAUUAAUUUAUUUGUGGCAAUUGUCAACUCUUUCAAAUUUGUGUGUGUGUGUGUGUGUGUGUGUGUUUGAUUUCUUUUUCUAAAUGUAAAUAUCAUUAUCAUACCUACUUUCUGUUCUUUAAAGAAUUCCAUAUACACACACAUAAACACAUACACAUACACACAUACUGUUAGGUAAGCUGCUGACCCCUUAAAACCAAGAUCCAUCCUUGUGUUGGCAUGUAUUACCAGGUAAAAUGCCCUUCUUAUUGACCUAGCAGAACUUCCAUUGAUGUAACAUUUGAAAACAUUUUAAAAAAUGAAACAAGGGGAAAUAUGAGGAAUGAUAUUAGCCAAAUUCUAUUGUUAUAUUGUGCGAAUGUACAAAUAUGUAACAAUGAAUCCCAACAUUUUGUACAAUUAUACAGCAAUAAAAAAUUUGAAAAAAAUGAAACAACAGAGAACCUAGAUGACAAUAAUGUGGUUAGUUCACAUGCUAUCCAUUGCCAAGCAAAAUAAGUUUUUGAUGUUUUAAAUUAUUCAUUGCAAGAGAUAUUUAAUCUGAAAAGACACGUGGAUUUGAAAUUCCACUGCCAAAAGUAAAGAACAGAGUCUCCAGAUUAUUACUUGUUAUAUCUGCAUGCAGAUUAUAUUUAUCAAUUAUGGAUACUAUUCAACUUUAGAGGACGCCUAUGGCUCAGCUAAGUCAGAGAAUAAAGGUCGUUGGUUAAAAGGACAUUUAUAAAACUGAGAAAGGCGUCCCUCUGAUCCACUCUACACAAAAAUGAAACAAUCUAAACUCUCUGGGGAGAAAUAGAGUUUCUAUCUGGCACCAAGUGAAGUCACCCACUUGUUAGUGGAUAUAGGAUACCUUUAAUCACUAAGAUACAAAAAGAUAUUAGAUAGUGCCUAGAAGAAGGGGGGAAAACCCACAAUGCUAAUUACUUUGAAAUUUAAUAAAUAAUGUUAAUGUCCCUACUUGAAAAAAUGACUGAUGGAUUUUUCUUUUUAAAAAUAUUGCUAUUGCUAUCAAGAUCUUCAAAAGGUCUACAUAGAAAACAGAAAUACCAUUUCUUAUAUUAAGUGUUUUUAAUAGCAUGAAGAGGAAAAUGAGAGUAAAAU
rnacentral:lncRNA from 1 species